GCCAGGUGUGCUGAGCCAUUGAAAGGAGUUUUAUCAGCAGGCAGGGCUGCGAGUCAAACUGGGGAGCCUUAAUUCCCUAAGCAGAGCGAAACCUCCCUGCAGAUAAAAGACUUGCCUGACUCGUUCCAGAGGGAGUUGGUGACACGGCUGCACCCUCGCCCCCUUCUCCCUUAGGAAAAUAUGGCCCUGGGGGCAGAGUGCAGAGGGAUGAUCAAAGGCAAGUGCAGCUUGGCUGCCUGCUGCCAGCAGCAGCAAGGCCAGCCCGUGUUUAGCAGGGAGCAGAGCUGUUGGAGCCAGGAGCUGAAGGCUGAGUUGUCCAGCAGAAGAAGCAGGUGUUGCAGCGCUGCUCCCUGUGGAGGUUAUUUCAAUACCCAGACGUCAUUAGCGCUGAGCUGCAGGACGUGGCAGUGCAGUAAAUGCGUCACGUUGCACUGGCUGCCGUGGUCCUCUGGUGCCUCCUGCCAUGGAUCAUCCUGGGAUCCUGGCAGCAAAGGUAACAUCUUGCCAGGGAGGAAAUGCUCUCUGUGCAAAUUCUUGCUUGCCGUGUUGGAGAGGCUCUACUCACUCUGGGGACCUGCAAGAUUCUUCAGCUUCUUGUCCCAGGAAAACCUACCCCAGUUUUACAAGGUCACUACAAUAAGGGAUAUUUUAUCUGUGGGUUGUGAUUCUAAUUUGAGUCCAGCUUCCAGACGAGUUCUGUAUCACUGACCAAGUCCUGGGCAGUGCAGGCUGAGGAGCAACCAACUCCAGUAUCCUUUGAUGGAGCAGGGACUGGCUCUGCUUUGUGCCAGACUGACCUUGAUGAAGGGCUGAUCCCACCCUGGCAGGACUCUGGCUCCAGCUCUGAUAUCACCUCUCCCUUCCUAGGCCCAUUCCAAUUUAGAGUUUAAGGCUGCCUCAGUUCUUCUCCAAAUAUAAAAAAAAUAAAUAAAGAAAAAAAUUGAUUAAAUCCA
rnacentral:lncRNA from 1 species